rnacentral:rRNA from 1 species
UAUGUAGGGGGCAAGCGUUGUCCGGAUUUAUUGGGCGUAAAGAGCGUGUAGGCGGCCAGACAGGUCCGUUGUGAAAACUCGAGGCUCAACCUCGAGACGCCGAUGGAAACCGUCUGGCUAGAGUCCGGAAGAGGAGAGUGGAAUUCCUGGUGUAGCGGUGAAAUGCGCAGAUAUCAGGAAGAUCACCCGUGGCUAAGGCGGCUCUCUAGUACGGUACUGACGCUGAGACGCGAAAGCGUGGGGAGCGAACAGG